rnacentral:rRNA from 1 species
GACGUAGGUGGCGAACGUUGUCCGGAAUUAUUGGGCGUAAAGGGCUUGUAGGCGGUUUGUCGCGUCGGAAGUGAAAACUCAGGGCUUAACCCUGAGCUUGCGGUCGAUACGGGCAUGACUGGAGUUCGGCAGGGGAGACUGGAAUUCCUGGUGUAGCGGUGAAAUGCGCAGAUAUCAGGAGGAACACCGGUGGCGAAGGCGGGUCUCUGGGCCGAUACUGACGCUGAGGAGCGAAAGCGUGGGGAGCGAACAGG